rnacentral:tRNA from 1 species
GCCCCCGUGGGGUAGCCUGGAUAUCCUGUGGGCCUGCGGAGCCCGUGACCCGGGUUCAAAUCCCGGCGGGGGCACCA